rnacentral:rRNA from 1 species
GUAGGUGGCAAGCGUUGUCCGGAAUUAUUGGGGCGUAAAGCGCGCGCAGGCGGUCCUUUUAAGUCUGAUGUGAAAGCCCACGGGCUCAACCGUGGGAGGGGUCAUUGGAAACUGGGGGACUUGAGUGCAGAAGAGGAGAGUGGAAUUCCACGUGUAGCGGUGAAAUGCGUAGAGAUGUGGAGGAACACCAGUGGCGAAGGCGACUCUCUGGUCUGUAACUGACGCUGAGGCGCGAAAGCGUGGGGAGCGAACAGGAUUAGAUACCCUGGUAGUCCACGCCGUAAACGAUGAGUGCUAAGUGUUAGAGGGUUUCCGCCCUUUAGUGCUGCAGCUAACGCAUUAAGCACUCCGCCUGGGGAGUACGGCCGCAAAGACUG